AUGGCCGAACCUGCCCUCACCUUCAUCCUUCUCUUCCUCAUUACUCUGCUUUUCACCAUUGCAACUACUGCUUUCAAGAUUAUCUUCUGUACUACAGAACCGCUGGUUGUAUCUCCAAACAUCACAUUACAACCUGUCUGGGAAGGUGAAUUCAAAGCCUCAGGGGUCAGACUCAUCUGCACCUUGAGUGGAUUCUUUCCAGGUGAACUGAGUGUGGAGUGGAAGCUGGACAACGACCCUCUAGUGAUUAAUCCAAUCGAAAGGAAGCUGCAGACCGUGGAGGGAGUGAAUAAAACAUUUAGUUUUAGCAGUGAGAUUGAGCCAAACAGCAAGAAGUGGGCAAAAGGCUCAAGCUAUACAUGCAAGGCGAUUCACAACAACAUUGAAUUUACAAAGACAAUUAGUGUAUGUCAAAUCGUUCCAAGCACCACUCCUUCCAUGCAUUUACAAACCCCGAGCUUCAAGACGGUAAUGACGGCAAAGUCAGACAUUAAGGCAACAUGUUCAGUCUGCACUAUUUUUGAUGCCACUGUGACAUGGAGGCUGGAUGAGGACUCUCCCUCCAAAGAACACAUCAACCAGGUCACUAAUGCAAGUCAUAUAAUAAGCACUCUGACAGUUUCAUCAAGCAGCUGGCAAAGACUGAAGGAUCUAAAAUGUAAGGCUGAACAUCACUGCUUCUCCUCUACUGAAGUUACAUUUGUUCCAGGACCUGCAGUAAGACCUCCAUUGAUUCAGAUCAGAAGAUCUCUCCCACAUUUGCUGAAGGGAGACAGUGCUGUGCUGGAGUGUGACAUCACACAGUUUGACUCCAGGGAUCUAUCUGUCACCUUACAUAAUAAUAAGAAUGCUAUUAUUGGCACACAGUUUGUUGAUCUUCCUCAAACCCCAGGACCACAUUCAAUCAGUAGAUUCUUCUCUGUGCCUCAAAAUCACUGGAAGAAAAACACAAGUUUCUACUGCAGCGUAAGCCAAGGUUUCUCUGGCAGUUCUACAUCAAACUCUACUGGCAUUAUCUUUGUGGAUCCAUCAGUGGAGCUCCUUCUGGUCCCAGGUGAAGAGUCUGGACAACAGAGACUGUCGUGCUCUGGAUGGGGCUUUGACCCUCAAAUCAAAUGGUCUUCUGAGUCCCAGCAAAAAUCUCCUUCGACCUAUGACAUCAGCAUGGGUGCAGGUGGACGUGUGGCAGUAACCAGUCAACUUCUUGUCCCUCAAAAAGAGUGGAAAACGGGGAAAAGCUUCACCUGUGAAGUCUCUGACAGGUCUCUGAACAAACAAUACAGAAAGGAAAUCAGCGUCUGUACAGCAUGUUCCACCAUCCCUCCUUCCAUUCACCUGGAGACUCCCAGCUUCAAGACAGUAAUGAUGGCAGAAUCUGAGGUUACAGCUACAUGUUUGGUCCGCACAGCGUUUGAUGCAACAGUGACAUGGCUGAUGAACCAAACAGUAACUUCAAGAGGCUCAGUGAAGAAGACUGCAAACGGAACUCAUACAAUCAGUGAUUUGACUCUUUCAUUAAGUCAAUGGAAAGAACUCGGAUCCAUAACAUGUAAAGCAGAGCACAAGUGCUUCUCCUCCGUUGAGAGGACUGUGACUGUUGCAGUGCCUGCAAACACAGUUACAACAAUUCAGGUCAGAAGAUCUCUCCCACAUUUGCUGAAGGGAGACAGUGCUGUGCUGGAGUGUGACAUCACACAGUCCGACUCCAGGGAUCUAUCUGUCACCUUACAUAAUAAUAAGAAUGCUAUUAUUGGCACACAGUUUGUUGAUCUUCCUCAAACCCCAGGACCACAUUCAAUCAGUCGAUUCUUUUCUGUGCCUCAAAAUCACUGGAAGAAAAACACAAGUUUCUACUGCAGCGUAAGCCAAGGUUUCUCUGGCAGUUCUACAUCAAACUCUACUGGCAUUAUCUUUGUGGAUCCAUCAGUGGAGCUCCUUCUGGUCCCAGGUGAAGAGUCUGGACAACAGAGACUGUCAUGCUCUGGAUGGGGCUUUGACCCUCAAAUCAAAUGGUCUUCUGAGUCCCAGCAAAAAUCUCCUUCGACCUAUGACAUCAGCAUGGGGGCAGGUGGACGUGUGGCAGUAACCAGUCAACUUCUUGUCCCUCAAAAAGAGUGGAAAACGGGGAAAAGCUUCACCUGUGAAGUCU